rnacentral:rRNA from 1 species
UGAGCAAUCUGCCCUUCACAUCGGAAUAACCAUUGGAAACGAUGGCUAAUACCGAAUAUGACUUCGGAUCGCAUGAUCUGAAGUGGAAAGCUCCGGCGGUGAAGGAUGAGCUCGCGGCCUAUCAGCUAGUUGGUGUGGGUAACGGCCCACCAAGGCGACGACGGGUAGCCGGUCUGAGAGGAUGGCCAGCCACAUUGGGACUGAGACACGGCCCAGACCUCCG